AUGCUGUGGAACCUGCUCGCCCUGACCGCUGCUCUCACAUGUGUGAGUGCUGUUACCACGGUGACACAGAGCCCUGAUGUUCUGACUGUGAGGAGAGGAGAGACGGCCUCCAUGGACUGUAACCUGGGCACAGUCACUGAUUCCUCUGCCAAAUGCACUGUGGUAUUUGGACAAGGCACCAAGCUCAUUGUGAACGAUGUGGCCCCUGCUCCUGUCCUGACUGUGCUCCCCCCCUCCCUCACACAGCUCCAGUCCAGCAGAGUCUCUCUGCUCUGUGUGUCUCAUCAGAGGGGGCCCUUUGCUCAGGUGACCUGGUUGGUUGAUGGGACUCCAGUGAACAGUGGGGUCUGGAGCAGCAGCGCUGUGCAACAACCAGACCAGAGCUUCUACAUGAGCAGCUCUCUGUCCAUCAACACAUGUGACUGGUCCAGCCAUAAGGUGUACACAUGUAGGGUGUCUGUGGGCACCCACAGCUCAGAGAGGCACAUCAGCAAGACCCAGUGUUGAGUAGUUUGAGUGGUCCCAUCACUGUAUUGAUUUUGUACUGAUAAUACAGUUUGUUCCCAAAUGCAUCAAAUAAAAAGAUCAUUUUAAAAA